rnacentral:rRNA from 1 species
CUACGGGGGGCUCCAGUGGGGAAUAUUGCACAAUGGAGGAAACUCUGAUGCAGCAACGCCGCGUGGAGGAUGACACUUUUCGGAGCGUAAACUCCUUUUAUAUAGGAAGAAGAUGACGGUACUAUAUGAAUAAGCGCCGGCUAACUCCGUGCCAGCAGCCGCGGUAAUACGGAGGGCGCAAGCGUUACUCGGAAUCACUGGGCGUAAAGAGCGUGUAGGCGGAUUAAAAAGUCAGAAGUGAAAUCCUAUAGCUUAACUAUAGAACUGCUUCUGAAACUCUUAAUCUAGAAUAUGGGAGAGGUAGAUGGAAUUUCUGGUGUAGGGGUAACAUCUGUAGAGAUCAGAAGGAAUACCGAUUGCGAAGGCGAUCUACUAGAACAUUAUUGACGCUGAGACGCGAAAGCGUGGGGAGCAAACAGGAUUAGAUACCCUCGUAGUC